rnacentral:rRNA from 1 species
UACAGAGGUCCCAAGCGUUGUUCGGAUUCACUGGGCGUAAAGGGGGCGCAGGUGGGUUUGCAAGUUCGAUGUGAAAGCCCCGGGCUUAACCCGGGAAUGGCAUUGGAUACUGCAGAUCUGGAGGAUCGGAGGGGGGACUGGAAUUCUUGGUGUAGCAGUGAAAUGCGUAGAUAUCAAGAGGAACACCAGUGGCGAAGGCGAGUCCCUGGACGAUACCUGACACUGAGGCACGAAAGCCGGGGGAGCAAACGGG